CGCCUUGCCAGCCCGCUCAGAACUUAAAGGAAUUGACGGGGCCGCACAAGCGGUGGAGCAUGUGGUUAAUUCGAUGAUACGCGAGGAACCUUACCUGGGCUCAAAUGUAUGUUGACGAUUCUGAAAGGGAUACUUCUUCGGACAAUAUACAAGGUGCUGCAUGGUUGUCGUCAGCUCGUGCCGUGAGGUGUCGGGUUAAGUCCCAUAACGAGCGCAACCCCUAUCAUUAGUUGCCAUCAGGUCAAGCUGGGGACUCUAAUGAAACUGCCUACGCAAGUAGUGAGGAAGGUGGGGAUGACGUCAAAUCAGCACGGCCCUUACGUCCGGGGCGACACACGUGUUACAAUGGGUGGUACAAAGGGCAGCUACCUGGCGACAGGAUGCUAAUCUCCAAAACCACUCUCAGUUCGGAUCGGAGUCUGCAACUCGACUCCGUGAAGCUGGAUUCGCUAGUAAUCGCGCAUCAGCCACGGCGCGGUGAAUACGUUCCCGGGCCUU
rnacentral:rRNA from 1 species